rnacentral:rRNA from 1 species
UACAUGUGGGGCAAGCGUUGUUCGGAAUUACUGGGCAUAAAGGGUGCGUAGGCGGUUUGUUAAGUCACUGGUGAAAGUUUGCGGCCCAACCGUAAAAUUGCCUGUGAUACUGGCGAACUCGAGUGCGUGAGGGGUUGGGGGAACGAGCAGUGUAGCGGUGAAAUGCGUAGAUAUUGCUCGGAGGGCCGGAGCCGAAGGGGCCCAACUGGUACGCAACUGACGCUGAGGCACGAAAGCGUGGGGAGCAAACAGG